CUCCGUCAUGACGGACGUGUAAACAGCCCAUGCGCUCCUGUAAAAAGUGUCGCAAAAACGCACAUGUGGUGGCCUAGAAUCGCUUUUAUUAAGCUGAUUUCGCAGUAAAAUGUGGUUACAGGGAACUUCGCGGUCAAACAGACAAGGAUACAAACCAAACCCGUCAUUUUAUUGUAUGAGUUUUAACUAGGAGCGAUGGGUAGCAGCCGUCAACCAUAAUGACUGGCUACUCGGUGUAACCGCGGACUUGCAGCGAACACUUUUUACAAGUAUUCCAGUCCACCGAGGUCUGAGCAUCAGAAGGGGAAAGAAAAGGAAACUACCUGAGCCAGAUCUUUACUCACUCAGGAUCAUCCCUCUUAGGGCAACACGUGCCGAUCCUGAUUCCUGCUUCACUGUGUCGAGAUAAUGAGGCGACAUUCUGGGCAGGAUUUCUUUUAACCCGCUGUGUGACAGCAUUUAUGACGCACAAGCGUCUGGAAGGUUUGGAGCUUUAGGAAACUGCAAAGAGAUGUGAAAGCAGACUUCAGGUUCCUGAAUCUGAAUUUAUCAUAACCACAGGUGGGAGCCACAUGCCCAGCCUUUGAAAAGCUUUGAGAAAUUUGUGUUGCUUGAUGUUACGUCACGUUACCUGCACAAUGAUGCAGAGGAUGACAAAUGCAGGGGAAGUUCCUGGACUUUUUGGUCAUGAAGGAGAAACGUUCAAAGAAAAAUGGUCAGAACCAAACUUCCUGCUUUCCCUUUAAUUUUAUGGUAGAUAUGACCACAUUUAUCCUUCAUUUAUACA